rnacentral:lncRNA from 10 species
AGAGACAUCGGGGGCGCCGAAGGGCCCGCGCCGGACUUCGCAGACAGGGGGCACUUGGGUGCCCUUUCAGGUCUCAGAGGGAGCGCCCGAUCCCCGACGAGGGGCAGGCAAACGGGCGCAGUGCCCGCGGCGGCGGCACGCGCGCAUCUGGGAUCCGGCCGCUUCUCCGCUCAUGCCAUCUUGUCCGAGCCAGUCACGUGCGGGCGACAGCGGCGCGCUUCGCCGGGCCGGUACUCCAGGUCCGACCCGCGAACCCCUCUGGGAUCCCCGCCGCUCUGUCUACAACCCGAGGAAGGUGGACUUUUAAAUAUUCUCCACUGAAGCAAAUGCUGCAACAAUUUGCAUUUCCUUCACCAAUGUCGUCUUGUGCCUUUUCUUGUUCCUACUGUAAAGGAGAUGGGUUAGAUGUUAUGGAGUCUUGCUCUGUCGCCCAGGCUGGAGUGCAGUGAUGCGAUCUCGGCUCACUGCAACCUCCACCUCCCCUGGUUCAAGUGAUUCUCCUGCCUCAGCCUCCCAAGUAGCUGGGACUACAAGCCCGUGCCACCAUGCCCAGCACUUUCAUUUGGACCCGUGGAUACC